rnacentral:snRNA from 1 species
GGGUUUGCUUUGGCAGCUCAUAUGCUAAAAUUGAAAUGAUAAAAAGAUUAGCAUGGGCCCUGUGCAAGGAUGACAUGAAAAUUUAUGAAGCAUUCUGUAUUAAA